GACGAACCGUGCGAACGUUAUUCGGAAUCACUGGGCUUAAAGGGCGCGUAGGCGGGCCGGCCAGUCUGGGGUGAAAUCCUCCCGCUCAACGGGAGAACAGCCUCGGAUACUGCCGGUCUUGAGGAAGAUAGGGGUGUGUGGAACGGGUGGUGGAGCGGUGAAAUGCGUUGAUAUCAUCCGGAACUCCGGUGGCGAAGGCGACACACUGGAUCUUUUCUGACGCUGAGGCGCGAAAGCUAGGGGAGCAAACGGG
rnacentral:rRNA from 1 species